rnacentral:ribozyme from 1 species
GCUCGUCCCGGCGAGCAUAAACAGCCGUUAGGCCGGGAGCGGCGGCGCGUACGUGCGCCGCGUCGGG